rnacentral:tRNA from 1 species
CUAAGGAUAAGGAACACGUUGGUUAAGUCUUAUUUAGUUUUGAGAGGUCUUGCAAGACGCAGAGACAAACUGUGGGGCCUUAGCUCAGCUGGGAGAGCGCCUGCUUUGCACGCAGGAGGUCAGCGGUUCGAUCCCGCUAGGCUCCAUUAUCUAGGAUAGAAAGAGAUUAAUCUCUUGUUCAACUAGAUAAAUGAUAUUUGAAUACGAACCUAAACUUACUAGAAAUAAGUCAAAACCAUCUCGUGUCUGAAGACACAUCACUGGUUUGUUCCUUAUUUUACGCAAGUUUUACGACAAGUCGUAGCGGUUCUUAAUAUCAUAAUAGUCCAUUGAAAAUUGAAUAUCUAUAUCAAAUUCCACGAUCAUAAAAAUGAUUGUAGAAAAGUAACAAGAAAUAAACCGAAAAAAAGAUAAACGCGAACAUAUUAAAAAAAAUCAAGAAGGUCUAAGGACUGGAAAUAA